AUGGCCAACGUAGUCCUCAACUUCAACGCGUUCCUAGAGAAAACCAAGCUGAAAGACGAUGGCAGCAACUAUACGGACUGGGUCCGGAACCUGAGGAUCAUCCUCAUAGCUGCCAAGAAAGAUUAUGUCCUACAAGCACCGCUGGGUGACGCACCUGUUCUCCCUGCAGAACAAGACGUUAUGAACGCUUGGCAGGCACGUACCGAUGACUACUCCCUCGUUCAGUGCGGCAUGCUUUACAGCCUAGAGCCGGGGCUCCAAAAGCGUUUUGAGAGACAUGGAGCAUAUGAGAUGUUCGAAGAGCUGAAAAUGGUUUUCCAAGCUCAUGCCCGGGUCGAGAGAUAUGAAGUCUCCGACAAAUUCUUCAGCUGUAAGAUGGAGGAAAAUAGUUCUGUCAGUGAGCACAUACUCACUAUGUCUGGGUUACAUAACCGCUUGACUCAGCUGGGAGUUAAUCUCCCGGAUGAUGCGGUCAUUGACAGAAUCCUCCAGUCGCUUCCACCGAGCUACAAGAGCUUUGUGAUGAACUUCAAUAUGAAGGGGAUGGAAAAGACCAUUCCUGAAGUAUUUGCUAUGCUGAAAUCAGCAGAGGUAGAAGUCAAGAAGGAACAUCAAGUGUUGAUGGUCAAUAAAACCACUAAGUUCAAGAAGGGCAAAGGUAAAAAGAACUUUAAGAAGGACGACAAGGGAGUUGCCGCGCCCGGCAAGCAAGCUGCCGGGAAGAAGCCAAAGAAUGGACCCAAGCCCGAGACUGAGUGCUUUUAUUGCAAGGGAAGUGGUCACUGGAAGCGGAACUGCCCCAAAUACUUAGCGGACAAGAAGGCCGGCAAAACAAAAGGUAUAUAUGAUAUACAUGUAAUUGAUGUGUACCUUACUAGUACCCGUAGUAGCUCCUGGGUAUUUGAUACCGGUGCAGUUGCUCACAUUUGUAACUCAAAGCAGGGGUUGCGGAAUAAGCGGAGACUGGCAAAGGACGAGGUGACGAUGCGCGUCGGGAAUGGUUCCAAGGUCAAUGUGAUCGCCGUCGGCACGCUACCUCUACAUUUACCUUCGGGAUUAGUUUUAAACCUUAAUAAUUGUUAUUUAGUGCCAGCUUUGAGCAUGAACAUUGUAUCGGGAUCUCGUUUAAUUCGAGAUGGCUACUCAUUUAAAUCCGAGAAUAAUGGUUGUUCUAUUUAUAUGAGAGAUAUGUUUUAUGGUCAUGCUCCUAUGGUGAAUGAUUUAUUCUUAAUGAAUCUCGAGCGUAAUGCUACACAUAUUCAUAGUGUGAGUACCAAAAGAUGUAAGGUUGAUAAUGAUAGUCCCACAUACUUGUGGCACUGCCGCCUUGGUCACAUAGGUGUCAAACGCAUGAAGAAGCUCCAUGCAGAUGGACUUUUAGAGUCUCUUGAUUAUGAAUCAUUUGACACGUGCGAACCAUGCCUCAUGGGUAAAAUGACCAAGACUCCGUUCUCAGGAACAAUGGAGUGA
rnacentral:rRNA from 1 species